GAGGGUAUAGCUCAAUCGGUAGAGUGUAUGCUUAGCAUGCUUGAGGUCCUGGGUUCUAUCCCCAGCACCUCCA
rnacentral:tRNA from 1 species